UACGGAGGGUGCGAGCGUUGUCCGGAAUUACUGGGCGUAAAGCGUGCGCAGGCGGUCUGUUAAGACCGAUGUGAAAUCCCCGGGCUUAACCUGGGAACUGCAUUGGUGACUGGCAGGCUUUGAGUGUGGCAGAGGGAGGUAGAAUUCCACGUGUAGCAGUGAAAUGCGUAGAGAUGUGGAGGAAUACCGAUGGCGAAGGCAGCCUCCUGGGCCAACACUGACGCUCAUGCACGAAAGCGUGGGGAGCAAACAGG
rnacentral:rRNA from 1 species